rnacentral:rRNA from 1 species
UGGGGAAUCUUCCACAAUGGACGCAAGUCUGAUGGAGCAACGCCGCGUGAGUGAAGAAGGUCUUCGGAUCGUAAAACUCUGUUGUUAGAGAAGAACACGAGUGAGAGUAACUGUUCUUGUAUUGACGGUAUCUAACCAGAAAGCCACGGCUAACUACGUGCCAG